UACAGAGGGUGCGAGCGUUAAUCGGAAUUACUGGGCGUAAAGCGUGCGUAGACGGUAGCGUAAGUCAGAUGUGAAAGCCCCGGGCUCAACCUGGGAAUUGCAUUUGAGACUGCUCUGCUCGGGUGCGGAAGAGGGAAGCGGAAUUUCCGGUGUAGCGGUGAAAUGCGUAGAUAUCGGAAGGAACACCAGUGGCGAAAGCGGCUUCCUGGUCCGACACCGACGUUCAGGCACGAAAGCGUGGGGAGCGAACAGG
rnacentral:rRNA from 1 species